AGAAGAGAGUGACCUUUCUACUCUAAGAAUCAUACCAAUGAGAUCUGGCUCCAUGUUUUCACAAUUUGUGCUUGGAGUCUCUGCCCUCAUGACUACCAGUGAAGUACUUCAUAAACCAUGCUUUCGUCAACAGCCACUGCUUCCUGAGUAGGGU
rnacentral:lncRNA from 12 species